GCGGAUUUGGUAUAGGGGUUGUGCCCUAGGCUUCCAACCUAGAGAGACGAGUUCAAAUCUCGUAAUCCGCUCAA
rnacentral:tRNA from 1 species